rnacentral:rRNA from 1 species
CACGUAGGGCGCAAGCGUUGUCCGGAAUUAUUGGGCGUAAAGAGCUCGUAGGCGGUCUGUUGCGUCCGCUGUGAAAACUCGGGGCUUAACCCCGAGCCUGCAGUGGAUACGGGCAGACUAGAGGUAGGUAGGGGAGAAUGGAAUUCCCGGUGUAGCGGUGAAAUGCGCAGAUAUCGGGAGGAACACCGGUGGCGAAGGCGGUUCUCUGGGCCUGUACUGGCGCUGAGACGCGAAAGCGUGGGGAGCGAACAGG